rnacentral:tRNA from 1 species
UCCCAUAUGAUCUAGUGGUUAAGAUUUGGCGCUCUUACCGCCAAGGCCCGGGUUCAAUUCCUGGUGUAGGAA